UUAAUCCCAACACUGGAGGGGCAAAGGCAGAAGGAACUCCAAGUUCCAAGCCAGCCUGGUCUACGUAGCAAGAGCCAGGACUAAAUAAAGCAAUCCAGUCUCAAACAAACAAAAGAGGGCCAAGGAGAUGGUGUAUUUAGUCAAGAUGCUGCUGCAUACGUGCAUGUGCCUGGUAGCCUAAGUUUUAUCCCCAGAAAACACAUAAAAAUAAGAGAGAACCUACUCCACUAAGUUGUUCUCUGACCUCCACAUGUAUGUCAUAGCAUAUGUUUCCCUUCCCACAACAUGCAGACAUAUGUGCGCACACACAUACACACACACACACACACACAAAUAUAUAUUUUAAGAGAAAAAUGAGGUCAAUAGGAUGAAUGCUGAAAUCUAAUCUAAAAAGAAGUGGAUUUGGACACAGAUGCACACAUGAGGAUGUCAUGUGGAGAUGAAGGCAAACAUGGAGGGAUGCUCCUAUAGGUCAAGAAACACCAAAAUUCCACCGUCAAGCCCUGGGAGCCGAGAUGGCUGUAGAACAGAUUUCGUAAGCCUUCCCGAGUGCCAUCAGACUACUUGGUUUCACGCUCCUGGCUGCUGGAACUAAUAAAUGUCUGCUGCUCAAGUCACCUAGUGUGUGACAUGUACGGCCAGCCCUGGCAUGUUACUACAGGUAAUAUGGGAAAUACGCUGAUACGGGUGAUGUAGGUACAUGCUAACACAUGUACUCUGAAACCCGUUACUAUCUGUCUCCAAAUGUAAAAAGAAACGCCCAGUGUGGCUGCUGCAGGCACAGCCUCCUUCUUACUCUCUGGAGGUACCUAGAGGACUCCAGCUGAGUUUAGCUUCUCUCUGUGCCCUGCAUGCCAGCCAUUAGCACACAGCAGAGCUCUACGACUGGUUUCUCUCUAACUAUAAUGUAUGCACAGUCUCUUUUUGCACUGAGAGAGAAAGCACGGGGAUGGGAAUGGUUUCUACUCAGAAAAAUGUCUGACAUGACUCAACACAGGACAAGACAGGAUUUCCCACUGAACACAGAAGUUGCCAUUUUUGCUACAAUGGAUGACUAGAGGACCCUGGGAUCAACGCAAGCUAGGAUUAGCGAUGCAAGCCACCAUUUUACGUAGGUGUUGGGAUUGGAACUCAAGUGCCCGUGCUUGUGCAGGAAGCAUUUUACCCACUGCGUCAUCUCCCCAGCCCUUCACAUGCUGCUUGCUAUGUUUUGACUGGAUCCCAAGUACUGCCCUGCUCAAGGCUAAGUCUCAUUUCCAUCCAAGGGCGAAGGAAGCUAAGGCUGGGAAAGCCAAGCAGAGGCAUGGUCAUCUUUCCAAGCUCAGACCAAAUAUCAACAUCUCUGAAAAGGCCUCCAUCUUUUCCUGUAGCUGACAGAACUUCCUAAAGAUGGCUGCAGCAACGUCUCCCACAGAGUUCUCUGCUCUGAACAUCUGUACAAGAGAUACCAUGUCAGCCAGGCACAGCACUUAACUCUACUGAAAGUCAACCACCACAGAAAAAGUGCAUCUACCCUGAGACCACCCAGCUGCCAGCAUUGGGCAUCAGACCCGGCAGUGAACAAGCCAUGCAUGGGGUGUAGAGAUGGAUGCACGAGAAAGCAACAGAGGUGGAGUGUGCGGUGUAGGUGGAGUGUGUGCUGUAGGCUCUAGGUUCGGGGCAUGAAGCUUGCUGUGCAUUUUCUUUGUUUUUUGUUGUUGU